GAAAUGCGAUACGUAGUGUGAAUUGCAGAAUCCAGCGAAUCAUCGAAGCCUUGAACGCACACUGCACCCACGAGCGAACCGUGGGUACACCUGUCCGAGCGUCGGUCCCACAUCACCAACCAGACCCACACGUGGGUCGGGGAGGUGGAGACUGGGCGUCCGCGGUCCCAGGAUCGCGGUCGCCUCGAAGACCGAGGAGGCGGCACUCAGGCCAGCCCUGCGAGAGUCCAGCAGGUCACUCAGGUGUCCGAAGGCUCAUGCAGGAUGCACGAGGGUCAGAGAGCCGAAUCUCCGAGCAGGAGGGAGGAGGGGGCUUGCCCUCUCCCCCUAAACCACAAAAAUAUCGACCUCGGAUCAGGUGAGACCACCCGCCGAACUUAA
rnacentral:misc_RNA from 1 species